UACGGGGGGGGCAAGCGUUGUUCGGAAUUACUGGGCGUAAAGGGCUCGUAGGUGGCCUGCUAAGUCAGACGUGAAAUCCCUCGGCUUAACCGAGGAACUGCGUCUGAUACUGGGAGGCUUGAAUCCGGGAGAGGGACGUGGAAUUCCAGGUGUAGCGGUGAAAUGCGUAGAUAUCUGGAGGAACACCGGUGGCGAAGGCGGCGUCCUGGACCGGUAUUGACACUGAGGAGCGAAAGCCAGGGGAGCAAACGGG
rnacentral:rRNA from 1 species